rnacentral:rRNA from 1 species
AUUUUAGGUCUAACCUGCCMAUGAGUAUAUUAAAUGGCCGCGGUAAUUUGACCGUGCAAAGGUAGCAUAAUCAUUAGUUUUUUAAAUGAAAGCUUGUAUGAAAGGUUUGAUGAGAAAAUAGCUGUCUCUAUUUAAAUUUUUUAGAAAUUUAUUUUUAAGUAAAAAAGCUUAAAUAUAUAUAAAAGACAAGAAGACCCUUUAGAGUUUUACAAUAAUAAAAAUAGAUUGAAUUUUAGUAUUUUAGAAUUUAUUUUUAAAAUUGUUUGGUUGGGGUGAUUGAAAAAUUAGAUAAACUUUUUUUGUAUUGAAACAUUUAUUUAUGAAAAUUUGAUCCUUAUAAAAGAUUAAAAGAUAAAAUUACCUAAGGGAUAACAGCGUAAUUUUUUUUAGAGUUCUGAUCGAAAAAAAAGAUUGCGACCUCGAUGUUGGAUUAAAGGAAAUUAUUGGUGUAGGAGCUAAUAAAUUAGGUCUGUUCGACCUUUAAAACUUUACAUGAUCUGAGUUUAAACCGGUGUGAGCCAGGUCGGU